UUAUCAAAACAACUAAUUGGUAAACAUCAUAAAAUGUCGAUUUACAAAGUUCGAGAAAUUUCGAGAAAUCGCAUGUUUUUCUGUUUUUUUCUUAGUCGGAGGUGUAACGUGUUUUCUCGUGACGACUUAAUCACGGUUUUUUUCCCAACACAAUAUUCAAUAAAGCCAUUAUCGUUCAAGUUGGCCGACGCUAAUGGAGCGUUCGAGUUUGCCGACGGAUUUUAUCGUCAGCCGAAGAUUUAUAUCGUCUCUAUAAUAAUAUAACGACGAUCGUUUUGGCAAAACAACAUCGA